rnacentral:sRNA from 1 species
UGAAAUAGUAUUAAUGCAAUUUGUAUAAUUUACCUUGGGCUUCACCAUCAUUGCGGUCAUCUUCUUUAGCUACCAACAAGAAGGAUUAAUAAGUAAACAUAGUAUUUAUACAAUUUGUUUCUCUCAGAGAUUUCACUAAUAUCACCGUUUCUUGAAAAAGAAGAAUAUGGUUUCUUGUUGGCUUCAUAAAUGGUGGAACGAGGAGCAUGAACAAUUGCCCUUGAUUCUCUAGAUUCUAGAGUGACAUUCGCAGAUGGAAUGGGAGGAAAGUCCAAAACAUUCACAGUUAAGCAAAGGGUGUGAACGAUCUGUGUCCCCCUAAAAAGUUUCAUAUAGCACCAUAUCUACACAGAAUUCGAACCUUUAUCCCAGUCUCCAUAAAAUGGAAGUUAAAGUUCAAUUUCUCCCUAAAUCGAAAGUUCGAAUCCUAGGUCCUCAUAAAUUCGAAUUUCACAGUUUAUCUUUGGUUUAUUGUGCCAAACCCGAUGUCAAACCAAAUCCCAACAGAUUAAACCAAAUUAAAACCUGAUUCGAGUUAUCACAACCAAAAAUAAAUACCAAAU